CGGCAAUGGAGGAAACUCUGACCGAGCAACGCCGCGUGAACGAUGAAGUAUUUCGGUACGUAAAGUUCUUUUAUUAGGGAAGAAUAAAUGAUGGAAAAAUCAUUCUGACGGUACCUAAUGAAUAAGCCCCGGCUAACUAUGUGCCAGCAGCCGCGGUAAUACAUAGGGGGCAAGCGUUAUCCGGAAUUAUUGGGCGUAAAGGGUGCGUAGGCGGUUAAAUAAGUUUAUGGUCUAAGUGCAAUGCUCAACAUUGUGAUGCUAUAAAAACUGUUUAGCUAGAGUAAGAUAGAGGCAAGUGGAAUUCCAUGUGUAGUGGUAAAAUGCGUAAAUAUAUGGAGGAACACCAGUAGCGAAGGCGGCUUGCUGGGUCUUUACUGACGCUGAGGCACGAAAGCGUGGGGAGCAAACAGGAUUAGAUACCCUGGUAGUCCACGCCGUAAACGAUGAGUACUAAACGUUGGGUAAAACCAGUGUUGAAGUUAACACAUUAAGUACUCCGCCUGAGUAGUACGUACGCAAGUAUGAAACUUAAAGGAAUUGACGGGACUCCGCACAAGCGGUGGAUCAUGUUGUUUAAUUCGAAGGUACCCGAAAAACCUCACCAGGUCUUGACAUGCUUCUGCAAAGCUGUAGAAACACAGUGGAGGUUAUCAGUUGCACAGGUGGUGCAUGGUUGUCGUCAGCUCGUGUCGUGAGAUGUUGGGUUAAGUCCCGCAACGAGCGCAACCCUUAUUAUUAGUUACCAGCACGUAAUGGUGGGGACUUUAGCAAGACUGCCAGUGAUAAAUUGGAGGAAGGUGGGGACGACGUCAAAUCAUCAUGCCCCUUAUGACCUGGGCUACAAACGUGAUACAAUGGCUGUUACAAAGAGUAGCUGAA
rnacentral:rRNA from 1 species